rnacentral:rRNA from 1 species
CACGUAGGGCGCAAGCGUUGUCCGGAAUUAUUGGGCGUAAAGGGUGCGCAGGCGGUUAUAUAAGACAGAUGUGAAAUCCCCGGGCUCAACCUGGGAACUGCGUUUGUGACUGUAUGACUAGAGUACGGUAGAGAGGGGUGGAAUUCCUGGUGUAGCAGUGAAAUGCGUAGAUAUCAGGAGGAACAUCAGUGGCGAAGGCGGCCAUCUGGGACAACACUGACGCUGAAGCACGAAAGCGUGGGGAGCAAACAGG